UCUGUAAUAGUUAUCCCCAACCUGCAACAAUAGAGACACGUGAAUAACCAAACACUACCUAAAUCUACUCAAGAAUACAGCAAACCUUAAGGGCCAGUUCAGCAACUUAGUGGAGAGCUCCUCACUGUGCUGACUAUAAUCUUACCAAUUUAUAAAAAUAAAGGAAGAAUAUGAAACAUGACACAUUGAUACACAGCAAGCCAGAUGCGAUUGGUUGUGAGAUCUGGUACUCAGUAAUGAUACACUUUCAAAAAUGCUCAGAAGCCAAGCGUAACAAGUAUAUUUCAUCGAAGAAACUCUGAAUAGAGUUCUUCUUACAUGUUAAUAGCUCAUCACUGCAAAGUAACUCGACAUGAUUUGUCCAGAUGGACUUGAGAAAUGGAUUAUACGUUUUUUUAAGAGCAAAAAGAACUGCAUUAUAUUUGAUAUAUUCAAAGUCUAAUGUUUUAUGAAGUUCCCAUUAAACAAUAAAAUCAUAUGCCAUGUAUACAUCCAGAAACAAGUCAGCAAAAGUGUUAAAA
rnacentral:misc_RNA from 1 species